rnacentral:misc_RNA from 1 species
GAAAUGCGAUAAGUAAUGUGAAUUGCAGAAUUCAGUGAAUCAUCGAAUCUUUGAACGCACAUUGCGCCCGCCAGUAUUCUGGCGGGCAUGCCUGUUCGAGCGUCAUUUCAACCAUCAAGCCCCCGGCUUGUGUUGGGGACCUGCGGCUGCCCGCAGGCCCUGAAAAACAGUGGCGGGCUCGCUGUCACACCGAGCGUAGUAGCAUACAUUCUCGCUCAGGGCGUGCUGCGGGUUCCGGCCGUUAAACGACCUUCAUAACCCGAGGUUGACCUCGGAUCAGGUAGGAAGACCCGCUGAACUUAAGC